GACUGCACCGUGGCACAUGGAGUUUCUGAGGCUAGGGGUCCAAUAGGAGCUGUAGCUGCUGGCCUACACCAGAGCCACAGCAAUGCAGGAUCCGAGCUGCAUCUGCAACCUACACCACAGCUCAUGCCACACCAGAUCCUUAACUCACCGAGCAAGGCCAGGGAUUGAACCCUCUUCCUCGUGAAUACUAGUCGGGUUUGUUAAGCAAUGAGCCAUGACAGGAACUCCAGGUAGUGCCUUUUUAAAAAAUUCUCCUUUUGUGUCCUAUACUAAGGAUGGCAUGCAAAAGUGUUUAAAUGACAAUAGAAACACAACUAUAAAUAUAUAAAUGAUGAUACUUGGGAAACUUUCAAAGAUUUGCUUGAAAUACUUGUUGGCCAACACUUAAGCAAAAGAAUGAGUUUUCAGUAAGAAAGACACUUUACAGAUACCAGUAUGAAACCCUGAUCUGUUUGAAAGUUAAAAUGUAUAAAACUGAACAACACCUGCAUGCAAAUAUUUUUUAUUCUAGAAGCCUGAUUGAAUAAAUGGAUUUAAUUCUGAAGAGGACAAGUUCAUGACCUACAAUCUGGAGGCUAGAAACAUCCUUCAAAAGUCAGCUGAUGAAUCCUUCUACCUGCUAGUAUUUAAAUCUUUGAAGCAAAUGAAAGAUGUUUGGAUUUUGAAAUCAAAUGAAUCAUGCAUAAAAAUGUCAAUAAGGGGGAGCUCCCGUGAUGGCUCAGCAGUUAACAAACCUGACUAGUAUCCGUGAGAACACGGGUUUCACCCCUGGUGCCGCUCAGUAAGUUAAGGAUCUGGCGUUGCUGUGAGCUGUGGUGUUGGUUGCAGAUCCUGCAUUGCUGUGGCUGUCGUGUAGGCUGGCAGCUGCAGCUUUGAUUCGACUCCUAGCCUGAGAACCUCCAUGUGCCCCGGGUGCAGCCCUAAAAAGGCAAUAAAAAAUUGUCAAUAGCAUAUUUCCCUUGUGGUGCAGUGGGAUCCACUCAGUUUGCUUGGUUUGCUGCUGUGGUGUAGGUUCGAUCCCUGGCCUGGGAACUUCCACAUACAGCUGGAACAGCCAAAAAAACCUGUCAAUACUCUUCAGACCCAGUGGACUCACAUAUUGAUUAAAGUGCUCCAUUAUGUAGCAUUCAGAUGAUCUUUAGUGCUGUGGCAGUGAAAUAAAAGUUUCUGAGCAAUAUCAAUUUCCCAUUAAAAGAUGAUUUAAUGCUUGGAUUUAAAUAUGCUGUCAUCCAAUUCAUGUUCCCUAAAAUAUAUUAUACCCACUGCUGAAAUUUUAAAGGAGUCCUUGAAACUUGGGUUAAAUAGAAAACCAAACUUGACUGAAAUACAGGCACUUCAAGUUAGUGAAGGCUUACAAUUUUCUGCACUGAAAUUGGAAGGCCUUUUAUAAAAUAUGUUUAUGAAAACAGCCUAUUUUCAAAGUACCCAAUUUGCUUACAAUCUUA
rnacentral:lncRNA from 9 species